GCCUGGUGGUUUCUAGCGACAGUUGUUCUGUGCUGAUCUGUGGGUUUUUGAUUGACCGGCACAAAUAAACUCAGAUUUUAUGCAUGGGAGCUGCCACUCCAAGUAGCCUCUAUAGCCUGGUUGCAGUGACAUCA